AAAGAUUUGUAUUUUUCUUGCUACCAUCACAUCUGUGAUUGUACAAGUGUAUCUCCCAAGGUCAACGCCAAAAUAUGUAGUAUCUUAACUCUGUUUUCAACUUCUUCACCCCUUCCUCUUGGCCACAUUGCUGCAAUGGAAAAAAAAAACAGGAUCCAUCUACUUUCUUGAAGAACGAGGAAUGGGCUGUUCUGGGGCUAUGGAUCCUUGAUGCAGUGUCAGUCAUCAGAUUCCCAUCUGCAUCUGAAAUGCUUAUGAUUGUGUCUCUGUGUGAUGGUUAACUACAUUUUCUUUGACUGCCACAUAUUGGUUAGUCAUCUGCGGCAAUCUGAAUAUGUCUAUAUUAAUUAUAUCAGCAA
rnacentral:lncRNA from 1 species